GGAUGUGAGGAGGAUCUAGCUGUGACAUCUGUCACCCCAUUGAUCGCCAGGGUUUAUGUGGCUGAUCUGGUUGGGCUCUUCCUCACCAAUCCAUGUGCUUCUCUCCUGAAGCUGUGCAUUCAGUGGAGGAGGACAACCAUCCCAACAGAGGACUGUUUCCUGGGUGAAGGGUGUACGAGUAGCUGUGCUCCCCUGCUAGAGCCUCCAGACGAGCUCUCCAAUAAUUAUGCACAUAAAAUUAGUUCAUU
rnacentral:snRNA from 1 species